GGCCCUGUCGUCUAGUGGUUUAGGACAUUACCCUUUCAAGGUGGAAACACGAGUUCGAUUCUCGUCAGGGCCA
rnacentral:tRNA from 2 species